rnacentral:misc_RNA from 1 species
GAUUGGCUUUCUCCUCCUUUUUGUAGGAUAUUCAGGUAAAUCAACGCCUGCUUGGAUACAAAGCUCCACUAUUGCAGGGAUUCGAGGGAUAGAAAAUCUCUCCUCGUGUGUAAUACGUUUUCCUAGGCGAUCAUAUAGAUGGUAGCAUUCAAGUGGCACUAUUAUGUCUUCAAGAACUGCCUUUCCCCACUCGUGAUGUCCUUUACGUUGUGAAGCUUGUGAUCCUCUACAUGACUUGAACGGAUGCCCAACAGGUCCAACAUGGAUUUCAUUACACCACUUGCAGCCAUUAACAGUUACCACUUUCAAGAGCCGCUUGAGAUUGUUAAUCACUGUCAUUCGUGCAUUGAACACAUUGUACGCAGUAGGAACUAGGCUUUUGAUAACCAAUCCGAUCUUUGGUGGAGGUACACGUCUUUUAGGUAGUCGAUUUUUCAUUCUAUCCCUGGCAGCUCUCCGUAGCUCCACAAUAGGUAUUGGGAAGGGCUUCUUUUCCUUUCUUGAAUAGUAACGAGGCAAAUCUGCAUUUUGUGGAUGAUCACAUCUAAUACCAACUGUUUGGACAGGACAUAACUUCUCUGAUGGCCUUCUAAGCUUCAAUUCAAGUGCCACUCCACUGCAAGUUUGCUUCAUAGAAUCAAGUGAGCUUAAAUUCAGCUGGGGAUUGCAUCUCAAAAUUCUGAAUUUAGGUGGUUGACUUCUCCCUUUGCUAUGCACCAAAACUGUGGUAGUAAGUUGAGAGUGUAGACAGCCGCAAUCCAUUCUUAAAUCACUUGGGAUGAAUAUUUCAUAGGAAUAGGCAAAGCUCAAAUUGGAGCCAAAAAUUUUGUGGAGC